GACGAACGCUGGCGGCGUGCCUAAUACAUGCAAGUCGAGCGGAAUGAUGGAGAAGCUUGCUUCUUCUGAUUUUAGCGGCGGACGGGUGAGUAACACGUGGGCAACCUACCUUGUAGAUUGGGAUAACUCCGGGAAACCGGGGCUAAUACCGAAUAAUCCAUUUUGCUUCAUGGCGAGAUGUUAAAAGGCGGCUUCGGCUGUCACUACGAGAUGGGCCCGCGGCGCAUUAGCUAGUUGGUAGGGUAAUGGCCUACCAAGGCGACGAUGCGUAGCCGACCUGAGAGGGUGAUCGGCCACACUGGGACUGAGACACGGCCCAGACUCCUACGGGAGGCAGCAGUAGGGAAUCUUCCACAAUGGACGAAAGUCUGAUGGAGCAACGCCGCGUGAGUGAAGAAGGUUUUCGGAUCGUAAAACUCUGUUGUAAGGGAAGAACACGUACGAGAGUAACUGCUCGUACCUUGACGGUACCUUAUUAGAAAGCCACGGCUAACUACGUG
rnacentral:rRNA from 1 species